AUUUCCAAUCCCAGUGCCUACCACCACAAUCUUCACAUCAGCUCGAACCAUCUUCAGGUUUCACUACCAUGUGGAAACGAUGCCAAGGAGAUGCUAAACCCUCUUCCAACUCGGUCACCGUCGGCUACCUUUUCGGUCUCCACCUACAGAACGGAAGAUGUAGAAACCCUGGAAGGUCAGGCAAAAGAGAAAUGGAUGAGGAACAGGUUGGUCUUGGGGAAAGUGGGUUGAUAUAUCGGGUCAGACGGAAAUAAACAACGGGUCAUAUUGGGUGGCUACUUUUGGUUGGUUGUUGCUACUGUUGACAAGAACGGCAAAACUCGGCAGCGUCGCUGGUACCUUCUCCUUCGAAUUGGAAAGCAGCAAUCAGAGUGCAAACAUGGUCUUUAAGCUUCAACACCCACCCAGUAUCGUCCUGUUUCCUCUUGGUUUUUAAUUUUGUGAUUUAAAAAAUAAGUAGCAUGAUUAAUGAAAUUACACUUAAAAAGAAAAGAGGCGGGCCUAAUCCACCCGUAUCAGGGACACGUAUCCUGAUCGAGUACCUGUGAUUGUCGAGAGAGCUGAAAGAAGCGAUCUUGCUGACAUCGACAAAAACAAGUAACUUUCCCUUCCUCUGUCUUAUGUAUCAACUAUGUUGAUAGUUUAGAUAUGCGUUUUCAAAGUGAUUAUGUGUAUUGUCUAUGAUGCUUUAUCAACCAACACAAGAUGUGUAUGUCACGGAUUUAAAAAAACAUUUGAGGCGUGCGCCUCAAGGCGCGCCUCGAGGCGAAACGGCCAAAAAACGAGUUGAGGCGCGCCUCAUGGUGUUCUUAAUGUAUAUGCGCCUCAGGUGCGCCUCAUGGGAUUUUGAUAGCUGUUUUUUAUGUUUUUGACUUUUGUGUCAAUU